rnacentral:ncRNA from 1 species
AUUAUUAGGGGUGCCAACCCGCCUUGCGGUAGGCUGAGAUCAUACCCUUUGAACCUGAUCCGGGUAAUACCGGCGUAGUGAAAAUU